GUAUUUCAUUGCGUUAAACGCGGCAUACAUUCCAUGAGACUUUUGUUACAGUGUGUGUGUAAAGACAUAGAACCACAGCAGGAGGACGGAGCCCCCCACGCCAUAGAACUACAGAGGGUGCACAGGUGUGAGUGGAUGUGUAAACAGAGCGUGCACAUGCCCCCAUACGGAGACCAGCAACAACUCUUGUUGACAGUUCAGUAAUGAUCCUUCCGCAGGUUCACCUACGGAAA
rnacentral:misc_RNA from 1 species